rnacentral:lncRNA from 1 species
UCAAUAAAUGGUGUUUGUAAAGUUUUUAUCAAGAUUAUAAGUGGUCAUCUGCUUCCAAAAGCUUCAAAAGAUGAAACUAUACCAGAUCCUUAUAUCAGAAUAAACAUACAUGGUAUCCCUAAAGAUGAAGUUCUGGGAAAAUUUAUCACAAAAAAAGUAAAAAG